GCUCAGUUGGCUUAAGCGUCUGACUUCGGCUCAGGUCACAAUCUCACGGUUCGUGGGUUCGAGCCCCGCGUUGAGCU
rnacentral:tRNA from 1 species